UUCUGUGUAUACAGUGAUUAAGCACAUAGGUUCUGGAGCCAGUCUGUUUCUUUCAAAAUCACCUCAUUGCUUUUGAAGAAUCAGGGAAACCCCCAUGAGACUACAGGUGUGAAGCAAGAUAGAAGCAUCAGUGCAAAAGAGUACUGCAUUUCCAAAUAAAGCCACUCACAAUCUUUAAUCAGGCUGUAAAUUUUAAGAAAUCUGGACCAAGACAGUUUGCUCCAAGAGUAUCCCACAAAUGCAGAUCUUCAGAGUGAGAUUUUAUUAUUGGAUUGCUCACCUGUCUGUUGCCUGAAAAUGGAUGAAUGUGUCAUGAGCUUCAAAACCCUUCUCUAAGAACUAGGAGCAUCCCAAGAAAUUAUACAGUCUCAUUUGGAACAAAAUGAAAACUCAGUCCACCUAAGAGUUUCUCAGACAUUUGACCUUUGUGUCUGCAGGAAAUAAAAAAAUUGAAACAGCAUUUGUACUCUGUAAUUGGUCCAACCUUAAUGGAAGGUAUUCACUGAGCAGAACACUAAGACAAGCUUUUGGUAAAUGGCACAUUACUUUAUAAAGAGCUCUGCUCAAGGCAAUUUAUUUG
rnacentral:lncRNA from 1 species